GAUGAACGCUGGCGGCGUGCCUAAUACAUGCAAGUCGAGCGAACAGACGAGGAGCUUGCUCCUCUGACGUUAGCGGCGGACGGGUGAGUAACACGUGGAUAACCUACCUAUAAGACUGGGAUAACUUCGGGAAACCGGAGCUAAUACCGGAUAAUAUAUUGAACCGCAUGGUUCAAUAGUGAAAGACGGUUUUGCUGUCACUUAUAGAUGGAUCCGCGCCGCAUUAGCUAGUUGGUAAGGUAACGGCUUACCAAGGCGACGAUGCGUAGCAGACCUGAGAGGGUGAUCGGCCACACUGGAACUGAGACACGGUCCAGACUCCUACGGGAGGCAGCAGUAGGGAAUCUUCCGCAAUGGGCGAAAGCUUGACGGAGCAACGCCGCGUGAGUGAUGAAGGUCUUCGGAUCGUAAAACGCUGUUAUUAGGGAAGAACAAAUGUGUAAGUAACGAUGCACGUCUGGACGGUACCUAAUCAGAAAGCCACGGCUAACUACGU
rnacentral:rRNA from 1 species